AAAUGGGGAGAAAAGGGAAUGAUGCUCUCUUUUGCUGCCUUGUCUCCGCAUGCCGGAGCUUCAUCCCAGAGAAACACCUGCUCCCUCUGAAGGAGGUUGCCCGAAUUAUAAAUGAGCCUUCAACAUAGAAAGAUGUGCUCAAGUGAGGAGAAAGAGAAAAACAGCCAAGCCACUUGGAGGCUGAAGUCCUGGGAAUACUGUCCAGGGUCACCUAGAUCUUCGCCCCACCCUUCUACCCAGGUUAUCCCAGAAGCCCCAAGAGACCUGACUCUGCAGAUGAAGCUAGACACAGCUCUGAAGAUGCUGCAGGAAGCGCAGAAUCCUUUGUGAAAGAGUUUGAAAACCUGCAUGCUACUUGGCAAAUUUAUUAGCGUUAGCAGUUAUUCAGGGCCACCCAGGAGGCAUAUGCCCAGCUAUAACCCUGGACAAAGAGAAGGUUUCCAAUAGGAAAAAAAGAAACUCUCUCCAGCCUCACUGAAGGCCUUAGGAUUUGGAAAAAUCUCUUCUCAGACAAGGAGAAGAACCCUGGACUUGAGGACCUUCUUGCCACUGAAUUCACAUAGCCAAUGGCUUGCCUGCAUCUCCACAAAGAUGUUUAACAGGCAUCUCAAACCUAACAGAGCUCUUGGGCUUCCUUGGUGGUCCAGUGGUUAAGAAUCCACCUGCCAAUGCAGGGGACACAGGUUUAGGUUCCUGGUUGGGGAAGAUAGCAUGCCACAGGGCAACUAAACCCUGCGUCACAGCUACUAAGCCGAUGCUCUGGAGUCCAUGAGCUGCAACUACUGAAGCCCACAUGCUCUAGAGCCCACAACAAAAGAAGCUAUGGCAAUGAAAAGCCUGAACACCGCAACUACAGAAAGCCCAUAGUCAGCAAGGAAGACUCAGUGCAGCCAAAUAAUAAUUUUUUAGAAAACUAGCAGAACUCUUG